AUGAGCGCCUGUCCACCCCAUUCCUCCUGCCGUAGCGCCCGCCACCACGCGCCUUUCAGCGCGGUCGGCAUGGACCCGGGCUACGUGGCGAAGGACAGCGUGAGGCGCCUCUUGACCGAUGUCGAGCCGCUGUUUCCCAUCAACGGGACGGCGGCUUUUUUG
rnacentral:ncRNA from 1 species